CGAGCGCGCUACAAGCCGGGCAGGGAGGGGGGACUGCAGGAGGAGGAAGACGAAGGUGAAACAAGCAAGGAUGGAAGUUCGUUGCAACCGAUUCUUGCAACCAAAAAGAAAACAACCCAUGUCAUAAACUGUCCGUUUCUUCAGAUGAAAUUGAUUCGGAGUGCUCCUGAGUCCAGAUGAGAUGAGGCUGCCGUCACCAAUUCGAUUGCCAUGUAUGUAUUCCAAUGAGGGUGCAGCUAGCAAUCAUCCAUGCUCGGAUUAUUCGAUUCACUUCAGAUGCCCACUGCACUACACUACUUGCAAACCAACACUGCAACUUGCAGGUUGGAGCCUCAAUGUGAUUAUGAUAACAAGGGCCAAAGCAGCAUUGUAAGGCGGGCCUUGCAUCUUUCUGGAGAUACAUGACGUACAAAAACUCAUCACCAUCCAAAAGGUAAGAGAAUAGCAUCAAUUUUUAUUUCUUCCCCCCAAUAGAGGCAAUAUGAUGACUAAAACUUGUCAAAACACCAAUAAUUAAUGAUGACCACACUCAGCUGACAUUAGAAUAUACACCAACAUUAUACAUAUAUCUCUGGUCCACUAAUAGCUAGCAGCAUCUGAUUCCAAACCAUGAUUAUCAUAAUUCCUAACUAAAGGCAAUCCAGUAACUCACCUAAUCUCUAGUGGAUGCGAAAAUGCCCUUCACAACCAACCUGGAAUUCAGAUGCGGAGACUUUCAACCCCGGAGAAAUUUUCCCAGAAAGGAAAAGGAAAGGCAAAAGGCAGUCCUGGAUUCCAUAUUCCAGUUUGUAGUUCCUAACUGAAAGCAGCACUAGUAUAUCUAAUAGUCAUAGACUCAUAUAGUAGCUCCCAAAAUAUAAAAAAAGCAAAUUAUAUGAUACUCAUAAUGCAAAGUCAAUGUCGCUUUGGGUAACCGAAAGCAUGCAGCCCUUGUUUUUUUGCCUCUAUCCAGAAAUAUGAAAUGCAGGUCACUUUGAUUUUUGCUCCACUGUGUUGGCAACUUGAAGGGGACCUACAUCAUCAAAUCGAUCUUGGAGCUGAAAUGCAGGGCAAAACUAUGAUGAUGAACCACAGUUUGGAGUAUUUAUGGGUCUAGUAUCCGUCCGUCUAUGGGAGCUGAAAUAUGCACAUGCAUCAGGCUUCAAUGUUCCAUCCAGGAGCUAGGAGAGGGAAAAGAAUACCAAAUCUGUUGUCGCAUGACCCCAGCAUAUAUACGAUAUGUAGUGGAGAAGUGCUAUUAACUUCUUGAGCAAAUAUGAAUGUAUAUGAUACAAAGUCAUGUCAAAUUUCAACCAAUUUUUGGCGAGCAUUA